GUACAUUUCUAUCCAUGUAUGUGUGUUCAUUGCAAUUGCCGUGUUCUCUGCACUGCACAUAUGUAUGUACAUAAGUAUGUAUGUAUGUAGCGCGCAUGCGCCAAAUAUGCGAGACAAGCAGAAAGACAGGCAGAUAGGCAGAGGCAGGCAAACACAGGCAGCCACAGCCACAGCCAGAGCCAGCAGCCCAAGUAACUAGCGAGCUUAUAAGAGAGCAGAAAAUCGUAAUAUAUUCAACGUGCUUCAUGCUGAACGCAAGCAGUAAUUUAUUUAAAUUUAACAUAAAAUGCUCGAGCCCUGUGCCAAACAAAUGUCCUUUUGAUGUGUGAACGUUCUUUUUGCCGCAUGCUGUUUGCAUGAAAGUUUAAAUAUGAAUUGAAAUCAAUUUCAUUUCCUAUGUGCACAUGCGUGCCCCAAAAUAACACACACACCUACACACAAAACGCACACACAUGCAAGUGAACAUGCGUCAAUCACAGUGAAAAAAGUUCAAAGUUUUGUGACGUUAAAAUCCGAAAUUGAAAUUAUAAAACACUGUCCAUUAAAGUAAAG